rnacentral:tRNA from 1 species
GGGCGUGUGCCCGAGAGGCUAAAGGGGGCGGGCUGUAAACCCGUUGGCGUAUGCCUACGCAGGUUCGAAUCCUGCCGCGCCCA